AGUCUUUUACCCUAAAUUCUUCAAUAACUUGUGUUUAGUGGUGAAUACAGAAUAACAUACUAAAGAAAGACCAACUCCCUAUUGAGUCUUCCUUUACAAGUAAAAAAUCUGAGGAAUAAUAAUCUCCAAGUUAUUGGGGUUAGCUUAAGUGACAGGGAGGUAUGAGCAUGUGGAAAGUUGUUCAUAUGAGAAAAUUAAGGAUGUUUACAGAAAUUUAAAUGGAAUUGGGCUAUUUUUUCAUUGUCAAUUGAAUUAAUUUUGGAGUGGCACCUCAACUUUCUUUAUGAUAUCAAAACAAAUUAAUUCAUAAGUUCUUCAAAUCACCCGAUAUGUGUUUGAUUGAAGUGCUAUGAUGCGUGAGACAUGUGUAGAAGCGUCCCACAUCGAAAAGUUCCAAAACAAAGUUACAAAACCUUGCAUAACUUUAUAAAGAGUUAAGCUACUUUCCAAUUAUUAUAGAUUCUAAAUUGGAAUCUAAUGUGUAUUUAAACUAACUUAAACCAAAUUAUACUUGAAAGCACAUGUAACCAAUAAAUCACGCUAGACCUAAUUAAACAACUAAAGGAUAGAUUGAAUUGGACGGAUUAAAGGCUAAAAUUAACAAGAAAAGAAAAGGACAAAUAAAUAAAAUAAACACACGACACACAUGUUUGAGAAACAAUGAAGCCCAAUGUUGUGAAUCCACCAAUGACAAUCUUACUCUCUUUUUCUAAAGGCAACUACUAUCCAAUUGGCACGCUAAUGUUAACGGUUGUUCUACUUAAUGUAUGAAUUAAUCCAUGACAAUGUUCAAAAAAUUAGUAUUGAGACUAGCCUAGGCAGUUUUUGGGUGGGGCUAUCAAGAAAACGCCUAUGCCUAACAAGAGUUGGCUAUAUGCUCUAGGCGUUUGAGAGACGUGCCUAAGGCAUUGUCGAGGUGCCACUUGGAUGUUUGAAUUAAAAAAAAAAUCCCAAACAAAAAACGACGUCGUUUUGAGCAGGAUUUUUAUAAAGCUCAAACUCGUCUUUCUCACAGUCUCACUUCGUGAAGGCAUGAAUGAUCUUUAAGAUCAUUAUGGUGGUUGCUUGAGGUUUAAACCAUGGACUUUAAUUUAAUUAGGGUUGGUUUUUACUAUUAUCUCUACUAAUUAAUGAAAUCCUCUUUGUCAACCAAAAGAGGGUGAAAAGACAAAUGAGUCUUCUAUCAUGCAAAAAAAAUGAUGGGCAAUAAUGUAAUUUCACAGGUCCAAAUUUUACUAUUUUUUAUUGAAACCUCAUCUACAGGUGAUGUUAAAAUACCUUCAA
rnacentral:lncRNA from 1 species